rnacentral:SRP_RNA from 1 species
UACCAGGCUAGGCCGGGGGAGGUAGGCGUUCCCCUUUACCUGAAGUCUAGAUGCAGGGGCGACUGCUGGGGGCGGGAGAGGGAAUGGUAGGAGUCCUGUCCUGCAGCUAUUGAAAUCCUGUCCUCCGGGAUUGGGGGUGGCAUACCUGCCUCCAAAGGGAGGCAAGGGUGCCUUUAUCACGGGAAAACCGCCAGGCCCGGAAGGGAGCAGCGGCACCGUGAACCUGCGAUGCUCGGAGGGGUGCGGGAUGGAGGCGGGGGCAGGGAAAGCUACUAUCAUUCCUUAACCCCACCCCAGUGGCCUGGUA